rnacentral:rRNA from 1 species
AUGGCCAACCCCGACGACGGCGGCGGGCGCAAGUUCUGGCGCUCCGCGUCGUGGUCGGCGUCGCGGGCCGCCGAGGCGGCGGGGCCGGAGGCGGCGCCGCUCCCGCCCCGGAUGGGCCCGCCGCCGCUCACCCCGCGGUCGAAAGGCCGGGCCUGCCUCCCGCCGCUGCAGCCGCUCGCCAUCACUCGCCGCAGCCUGGACGAGUGGCCCAAGGCGGGCUCCGACGACGUGGGCGAGUGGCCCAACCCCACCACCCCGGGCGCGUCCAAGGCGGGCGGCGGCGGCCCGGGCUCAGCCAAGCCCGGGGAGGGCCUCCGGCUCGACCUCUCCACCCUCCGCUCGCAGGGCCGCAAGGACCAGAUCGCCUUCUUCGACAAGGAGUGCUCCAAGGUGGCCGAGCACGUGUACCUCGGCGGCGACGCCGUCGCCAAGAACCGCGACAUCCUGCGCAAGAACGGCAUCACCCACGUCCUCAACUGCGUCGGCUUCGUCUGCCCCGAGUACUUCAAGUCGGACCUCGUCUACCGCACGCUCUGGCUGCAGGACAGCCCAACCGAGGACAUCACCAGCAUCCUGUACGACGUGUUUGAUUACUUCGAGGACGUGAGGGAGCAGGCCGGGCGCGUGUUCGUGCAUUGCUGCCAGGGGGUGUCGCGCUCGACAUCGCUGGUGAUAGCGUAUUUGAUGUGGAGGGAAGGGCAGAGCUUCGACGACGCCUUCCAGUUUGUGAAGGCCGCUAGGGGGAUCGCGAAUCCGAACAUGGGGUUUGCCUGCCAGCUGCUCCAGUGCCAGAAGCGGGUGCAUGCCAUUCCUCUGUCCCCAAACUCAGUGCUCAGGAUGUAUCGGUUGGCGCCUCACUCCCCCUAUGCUCCACUGCAUCUAGUGCCCAAAAUGCUGAAUGAGCCCUCGCCUGCCGCCCUCGACUCCAGGGGUGCAUUCAUAGUUCAUGUGCUCUCGUCGAUUUAUGUUUGGGUUGGAAUUAAAUGUGAUACAGUGAUGGAGAAGGAUGCGAGAGCGGCAGCUUUUCAGGUGGUGAGGUAUGAGAAGGUGCAGGGGCAGAUCAAAGUUGUCAGAGAAGGGUUGGAGCAACCUGAAUUUUGGGACGCCUUUUCCAGUGCACCUGUUAAUUCAGACAGCAAAAUGAAGCUUGGCAAGGAGCAGAUCGAUUCGCCAUCCAGGACUGGCGUGGGAAGCCGGAGAGUCGAAUCUUAUGAUUCUGAUUUUGAGCUCGUCCAGAAAGCGAUAGCUGGGGGUGUUGUUCCAGCGUUCUCGUCUUCUGGUACUGGAGAUGAGACCCAUCUUCCAGCGAGGGAGAGUAGCUGGAGUUUACUAAGGCGCAAGUUUAUCUCGAGAUCACUAUCUCGAGUUUAUUCAGAUUCUGCUCUGAUAAGGGAUUUGGAUCCACGGGUACAGCACUUGACUGCAGAGGCAUCAAUAUCACCGCCUUUCCUUUCUCCGAGCUCUCUAUCAUCAGAUUCAACCAUUAGCUCAAAGUACAGUUCAGACUCACCCUCCCUGUCACCUUCAACUAGCUCCCCACCGUCACUUGGUCUUUCACCUGCUUCAUCUAAUUUGCCACACGCUUUGGUGCCAUCAUCUAGGUCUCCUCUUCGCCAGUCAUCUAAUGCGGAACAUUCAAAGCCUGUCCUGGGAUCAAUACGCUCUCCAUCCAAGGUCUCAUCUAUAGCAGAAAGAAGAGGUGGAUUUUCAGGUCUGAAGCUACCAUCACUCCCAAAGGAGCUAGUAUUGCCACCAAGGGCGCCAUCUAUUCACAAAGCAGAGGAAGUCACGGAUAAGACUAAUACCAAUGGUGUGAAACAGCUUACUGGUGUUUCUUGCCCAGAGAAAUGCACCGGAACUAGUUCAACAGCAACUGACAGCAACUCAGAGGCUACUGUCCACGGUGAGACCAUAUUAAUUGAGCAUACUAACUCAGAGGCCUGUAAUUAUGUUCAACUACUAGUCUACCGAUGGCCCUGCAUGGAGAAGCUGACUGCAUUCGCUCGCAAGGAUCUUGACCCAAAAACAGUUUUUAUUUUUGUUGCUCCUAAAGCCAGCAGAAGUGCAGAAGAAGUUAAAACGGUAUGCGUGUGGGUAGGAGGUGAAUAUGAGUGUAGCAAAGGUGUUGACAGUAUUGAUUGGCAGCAAGUUGCUGGUGAUUUUCUUAAUCAGAAGGGGUUCAGCAAUACUCUUCCUGUUAAGGUUUUCAAGGAGCAUGAAACCGAGAAUCUUUUGGAGGUUCUGGAUGCUCGUUAA